CCAUUUAGGUGUUAGCCUAGGCUAACGGUUAGCCUAGCUGUUAGCCACCUAGCAUGCUAGCUCGUUGAGAACAAUGGGGCCACCAUUUAGGUGUUAGCCUAGGCUAACGGUUAGCCUAGCUGUUAGCCACCUAGCAUGCUAGCUCGUUGAGAACAAUGGGGCCACCAUUUAGGUGUUAGCCUAGGCUAACGGUUAGCCUAGCUGUUAGCCACCUAGCAUGCUAGCUUCGUUGAGAAACACUCAGAAGUAUAUUAGAGCUGAUUAUAGACCUACUAUAUAAGAGGCCAAGACCGGAACAUCUGAAUUAAAAUAACGAUUGUUCCCUAAUACAAUACAUAGCCUAUUGCAUAUUAUGCACUUUAAUGAUUUAAGAUGUCUUUGGUACAUAAUUUGGUCUAUCCUAUUCUCCUACAUUAAAACACACACUAGUAACGGCCUUUGAAUGUGGACUGUAUUAUUAUGCAUACUGGGUGGACUGGUUAAAUGUAUAGGCUUAGGUCAUGUUGCUGCUUCAUUGAUUGUGCAAGGUGGCUUACAAUAAUUAUUACUUACUUAUAAUUAUUGUGAAUUUGUAUUUGAUUUUUAAUUAGCCUGGUAAAAAAAAGGGCUUUUUUUUUUAAUACUUUCAUAAUUAAUCGGCUGACACAUUACCUUUAAUAACUGGAGAAUAUAUCUCACCACUGUGUUUUUCCCAUCUCCUCUCUUCUUCAUUCCUUUCUCAAGGAUGUAGAGAGAGAGAGGUGCUGUCACCAGCUUCAUCCACUAUGUUUCGUUGGUUGGAGGGCCCAUACAGAGUACUGGGUAGCUGCAGGAACAAGGUUGGAGGGCCCAUACAGAGUACUGGGUAGCUGCAGGAACAAGGUUGGAGAGCCCAUACAGAGUACUGGGUAGCUGCAGGAACAAGGUUGGAGGGCCCAUACAGAGUACUGGGUAGCUGCAGGAACAAGGUUGGAGGGCCCAUACAGAGUACUGGGUAGCUGCAGGAACAAGGUUGGAGGGCCCAUACAGAGUACUGGGUAGCUGCAGGAACAAGGUUGGAGAGCCCAUACAGAGUACUGGGUAGCUGCAGGAACAAGGUUGGAGAGCCCAUACAGAAUACUGGGUAGCUGCAGGAACAAGGUAGGAGAGCCCAUGACAUACAGAGUACUGGGUAGCUACAGGAACAGGGUAGGAGAGCCCAUGGCAUACAGAGUACUGGGUAGCUGAAGGAACAGGGUAGGAGGGCCCAUGGCAUACAGAGUACUGGGUAGCUGCAGGAACAAGGUUGGGAGAGCCCAUACAGAGUACUGGGUAGAUACAGUAACAGGGUAGGAGAGCCCAUACAGAGUACUGGGUAGCUGCAGGAACAGGGUAGGAGAGCCCAUACAGAGCACUGGGUAGAUACAGGAACAGGGUAGGAGUGCCCAUACAGAGUACUGGGUGGAAUAUCACCUGUCGCGCAGCGAGAGGCUGGGUGCUCCUCAAACAGUGGUUGAUUUGUGGAGUGAAAUGUGUUCCCAGACAUUUCUAUAUGGAACCAAGCAGUGUUGAUGGGUGUCACUGAAAAGAGGAUCCCAGCUGCUACGCUGCCAGCUGCUACCCUGCCAGCUGAUACUCUGCCAGCUGCUACGCUGCCAGCUGCUACUCUGCCAGCUGCUACGCUGCCAGCUGCUACGCUGCCAGCUGCUACUCUGCCAGCUGCUACUCUGCCAGCUGCUACCCUGCCUGCUGCUACUCUGCCAGCUUCUACCCUGUCAGCUGCUACCCUGCCAGCUGCUACUCUGCC
rnacentral:lncRNA from 1 species